CCAAACAAGUAAUUCUCUUCUUCAUAUCUAUCAUCACACAUGUGAAAUCAAGUUCAAUCUCGAUCAACGGUAAUGAUUUCACAAAACCAUGCCACCGACACUGAAGAGCAAGAAACGAUUAUUGUGGAACAAGUUAAAGCUACACAUGAUCCCAGAGGUGGAAUGGAUGUCGAUACAACUUCUAUUUUCAAUUUUGUUGACAACAUUUUCAAUUGCGAUACGUUCAAACUCCUAUUUCACAGAUCUGUCUACAAUCUAUGCAUGAAGAAGUGUGAUGGAGAUAGUUUCUAAAGAGUUAAAAGUAAAAGAAAUUCCUUUAUUAAUUUAAUUCUUUUAAUUGCCUUGUCAUGAAGCAAAGUAUUAGGAUGUAUUGAUUCUUGCUUGUACACAUUUUCAGUUCAUAUAAUAUGUAAGAUAAGUGAUUUGCAAGACAUUCUCGUACUUGUUAUUCUAUUUUCAAUGCAUUGGAAGCAAGAAGCUAGAUGACUACCUUAACACUAAAUCAAAGAAGGUAUGAAAAAUCCCGAAAGGGAUAGACCAGCCAAUGAAUUGAAACAUGAUUUUUCUAUGUAAAGGUCUCUGAGUUUCAUUUAUAACAACACAUUUUCAGUCCAAUUUAUUGCACAAGAUUUUCUGCAAUUCUUAGUGUGGUUUAUCUCUUCUAUAUGAUUAGUUUAUGAAAA